UACGUAGGCAGCAAGCGUUGUUCGGAGUUACUGGGCGUAAAGGGUGUGUAGGCGGUUGCUUAAGUUUGGUGUGAAAUCUCCGGGCUCAACUCGGAGUCUGCAUCAGAAACUGCCGUGCUGGAGUGCGGGAGAGGUGAGUGGAAUUCCCGGUGUAGCGGUGAAAUGCGUAGAGAUCGGGAGGAACACCUGCGGCGAAAGCGGCUCACUGGACCAUAACUGACGCUGAUGCACGAAAGCUAGGGGAGCAAACAGG
rnacentral:rRNA from 1 species